rnacentral:rRNA from 1 species
UACGGAGGGGGCUAGCGUUGUUCGGAAUUACUGGGCGUAAAGCGCGCGUAGGCGGCUUUGUAAGUUAGAGGUGAAAGCCCCCGGCUCAACUGGGGAGGGUCACGCGAUACUGCUCGACUCGAAGGCAGGAGAGGGAAGUGGAAUUCCCGGUGUAGUGGUGAAAUGCGUAGAUAUCGGGAGGAACACCAGUGGCGAAGGCGACUUCCUGGCCUGUUCUUGACGCUGAGGCGCGAAAGCUAGGGUAGCAAACAGG